rnacentral:lncRNA from 10 species
GCUGAGGGUGGUUCAUAUGACCUUUAUUAUGUUGAGGUCAUUUCUAUUUUGAGUCUGUAUGUUUUUAAUCACGAAAGGGUAUUAAACUUUGUUAAAUGCUUUUUCUUCACUAACUGAAAUAGUCAUGUGUUUUCUUUCGUUCAUUCUGUUAAUGUGAUAUCUUACAUUGAUUUUUAUAUGGUAACCAUCUUUGCAUUCCAGGAAUAAAUCUCACUUGAUCAUGGUGUGUAAUCCUUUUUAUGAUGCUGUCAAAUUCUCCUUAUUAGUAUUUUGUUGAGAACUUUUGCAUCUGUAUUUAUCAGGAACAUUGGUCUAUUUUCCUCUGGUGCUUUGUCUGCCUUUGGUAUCAGUAAUGCUGGCCUCACAGAGUGAGUUUGGAGGUAUUCUUUCCUCAAUGUUUUGGAAGAAUAUGAGCAGGAUUGGUAUUGAUUCUUCAAAUGUUUGGUGAUUCACCAGUGAAGGCAUCUGAUCUUCUGCUUUUCUUUCCUGCCAAGUUUUUGGUCUCUGAUUCAAUCUCCUUGGUAGUUACAGGUCUGUUUUUUCCAUCUUCUAUUUCAUUUAUUUCUGCUCUAAACUUUAUUAUUUCAUUCCUUCUCCUAUCUUUGGGUUUAGGCUGUUCUUUUUCUAAUAACUUAAGGUAGAAGGUUAGGUUGUUGGUUUGAGAGCUUUUCCUUUUUCUUUGAGAGACUUGCCACGUUGCCCAAGCUAGUCUCAAACUCCUGGGCUCAAGCAGUCUCCUGGCCUCGGCCUUCCAAGUAGCUAGGAUUAUAGAACAGUGUCACUGUGCCUGGCUGCUGCUUUUUUUUUCUUUUUUUUUUUUUUUGCCGGGGGGAGGGGGGAGGUGGAGUCUAGCUGUGUCGCCCAGGCUGGAGUGCAGUGGCACAAUCUCAGCUUACUGCAACCUCUGCCUCCCGGGUUCAAGUGAUUCUCCUGCCUCAGCCUCCCAAGUAACUGGGAUUACAGGCGCCUGCCACCACGCCUGGCUAAAUUUUAUAAUUUUAGUAGAGCUGGGGUUUUGCCAUGUUUGCCAAGCUGGGCUCAAACUCCUGACCUCAGAUGAUUUGCCCACCUCGGCCUCCCAAAGUGCUGGGAUUACAGGUGGAGCCACUGCACCCAGCCAGCUUCUUUUUUAAUUUAAGUGUGUACAGCUACAAAUUUCCCUCAUAGCACUGCUUUUGCUGCAUCCCAUAAGAUUUCAUAUGUUUGGUCUCAAGAUACUUUCUGAUUUUUCCUUAUUUUCUUUCUUUGAUCCACUGGUUUUGUAGUAUGUUGUUUAGUUCCCACAUAUUUGUGGAUAUUUCAGUUUUCCUUCUAGUAUGAUUUCAGUCAUUUCAAAUGUAUUAAAUCUUGCUUUGAAGCCUAACAUACAAUCUUUCCUGGAGAACAUUCCACGUGUACUUUUGAAGAAUGUGUAUUCUGCUGUUGGGUGAAGUUGUCUGUGUGGUAGGUCCAACUGGUCUAUAGUAUUGUUCAAGUACUUUGUUUCCUUCUUGAUCUUCUGUCUGGGUGUUGUAUCCAUUAUUGAAAGUGAGGUAUUGGGCCGGGUGCAGUGGCUCAGGCCUGUAACCCCAGCACUUUAGGAGGCCAAGAUGGGUGGAUCACCUGAGGUCAGGAGUUCAAGAGCAGCCUGGACAACAUGGUGAAACCCUGUCUCUACUGAAAAUAGCUGGUCGUGGUGGCAUACGCCUGUAAUCCCAGCUACUCUGAGGCCUAAGAAUCACUUGAACCCAGGAGGUGGAGGUUGCAGUGAGCCGUUAUCAUGCCACUGCACUCCAGCCUGGGCAACAGAGUGAGAUUCCAUCUCAAAAAAAUAAAAAAAGUGAGGUGAAGUCUCCUACCAUUAUCGUAGACCUAUCUGUUUCUCCUUUCAUUCUACAGUGUUUGCUUAAUAUAUUUAGGAGCUCUGAGGUGUGUUGCAUGUACAUUUAUAACUGUUACAUCUUUUUGGUGAAUUGACUGUUAUCAUUAUCUCUUAUAACAGCUUUUGACCUUAGGUCGAUUUUGUCUGAUAUUAGUAUAGCUACUCCUUCUCUAUCUUAUUUCAUCCUUUCACUUUCAACCUGUGUAAGUCUCUCAGUCUUCUGAUGGUGGAAUUCAUUUGUAUUUUUAAAGAUUAUCAUUCUGAUGCAACUGACUAACCUGGUGACUGUGUCAUGAGGCCCACAGCCAAGGACUGCGGUGACCAGUUGCUGUGGGGAGACUCCAGCACAUUACUGACGGGACUUCCCGAUGGGGAAGGACUUCCUGGUGCCACGCUGUUGAUUGUUUUCUGCAUGGCUUAUGGUUUGCUUUCUCUGUCAUUUCGUCCCUUUGUGUUUAAUUGAUGUUUUUAUUGUGACACACUUAGGAUCUCAUUUGCUUUUGUGUACGUUCUGUAGAUAUGUUGUCAUUACCAUGGGGAUUACACGAAACAUCCUGAAGUUAGAGCAAUCCAUUUUAAACUGAUGUUUUGUUGAUGGCUGACGUAGCGGACUCAAAACAACGAGCACUUCUGCUUGAUACACAGAUUCUCCGAGGUUCCUGUGGAGCCACAGCACCUCCUGUCUUGGCACUUCAUAGUUGUCUCAUCGAGUCCAAGGCUG